rnacentral:rRNA from 1 species
CGUGCUUGCACUGAAUGAGAUUUUAACACGAAGUGAGUGGCGGACGGGUGAGUAACACGUGGGUAACCUGCCCAGAAGCAGGGGAUAACACCUGGAAACAGAUGCUAAUACCGUAUAACAGAGAAAACCGCCUGGUUUUCUUUUAAAAGAUGGCUCUGCUAUCACUUCUGGAUGGACCCGCGGCGCAUUAGCUAGUUGGUGAGGUAACGGCUCACCAAGGCGAUGAUGCGUAGCCGACCUGAGAGGGUAAUCGGCCACAUUGGGACUGAGACACGGCCCAGACUCCUACGGGAGGCAGCAGUAGGGAAUCUUCCACAAUGGACGCAAGUCUGAUGGAGCAACGCCGCGUGAGUGAAGAAGGGUUUCGGCUCGUAAAGCUCUGUUGUUAAAGAAGAACGUGGGUGAGAGUAACUGUUCACCCAGUGACGGUAUUUAACCAGAAAGCCACGGCUAACUACGUGCCAGCAGCCGCGGUAAUACGUAGGUGGCAAGCGUUAUCCGGAUUUAUUGGGCGUAAAGCGAGCGCAGGCGGUCUUUUAAGUCUAAUGUGAAAGCCUUCGGCUCAACCGAAGAAGUGCAUUGGAAACUGGGAGACUUGAGUGCAGAAGAGGACAGUGGAACUCCAUGUGUAGCGGUGAAAUGCGUAGAUAUAUGGAAGAACACCAGUGGCGAAGGCGGCUGUCUGGUCUGUAACUGACGCUGAGGCUCGAAAGCAUGGGUAGCGAACAGGAUUAGAUACCCUGGUAGUCCAUGCCGUAAACGAUGAUUACUAAGUGUUGGAGGGUUUCCGCCCUUCAGUGCUGCAGCUAACGCAUUAAGUAAUCCGCCUGGGGAGUACGACCGCAAGGUUGAAACUCAAAAGAAUUGACGGGGGCCCGCACAAGCGGUGGAGCAUGUGGUUUAAUUCGAAGCUACGCGAAGAACCUUACCAGGUCUUGACAUCUUCUGCCAACCUAAGAGAUUAGGCGUUCCCUUCGGGGACAGAAUGACAGGUGGUGCAUGGUUGUCGUCAGCUCGUGUCGUGAGAUGUUGGGUUAAGUCCCGCAACGAGCGCAACCCUUAUUACUAGUUGCCAGCAUUCAGUUGGGCACUCUAGUGAGACUGCCGGUGACAAACCGGAGGAAGGUGGGGACGACGUCAAAUCAUCAUGCCCCUUAUGACCUGGGCUACACACGUGCUACAAUGGAUGGUACAACGAGUCGCGAAACCGCGAGGUUUAGCUAAUCUCUUAAAACCAUUCUCAGUUCGGACUGUAGGCUGCAACUCGCCUACACGAAGUCGGAAUCGCUAGUAAUCGCGGAUCAGCAUGCCGCGGUGAAUACGUUCCCGGGCCUUGUACACACCGCCCGUCACACCAUGAGAGUUUGUAACACCCAAAGCCGGUGGGGUAACCUUUUAGGAGCUAGCCGUCUAAGGU